UUUAGAUUUUCGACUACAUGCAGGUCACAGUCCCCACCCCUUCAUUGUUUAAGGGUCAACUGUAUUCAUUUUAAUUUUACAACUUAUUCCAUCAUACAGAAAAAUACAGAGAUCAAUACAAAAAAGACAUGAGAAUUUAUAUCCCAAAAUUACCAACUGUUAACCUUUGCUAUAUUUACAGCUUUUUCCACUCAGCAGUAUAUAUUUUAGACAUAUCCAUGUUGUUACAUAUAGAUCUAGCUAUUUCAGUUAAACUAUUUAGUAGUAGUACAUUAUGGAAAGAGAUCACAGUUUAUUUAUCCCUGUUGUUGGAACUUCAGUUUGUUUAUAUCUUUUGAUUGUUACAAACAAUGGCACAAUAAACACUGUUAUACCUGUCUCUCUGUGUACAAGAGUUUCUCUAAGAUUUAUGCCAACAACAUAAUUGAAAGGCUUCACAGAGUGGCCUUGUAGGGUUUAAAAAGCUAAUUGCUUUUCAAGUUGCAGCUUUAGAAAUGGCGGCUCCAAGGGGGCAGACUUCACAGGAAAUGAAACUGUGGCUUAGUCCCACCCUAGACGAUUUUCUUGGCAGAAAGAAGCCAAGACAGCCUCAUGAGCCUCUCCCGGGCCCCUGGGCGGUGAGUAAGGAAGGCAGUAGAAAGCUUUCGUAAGGGCUGUGAGUGCCGUGGUAACAUUGAACUGAGAGCCAGCUGACCUAGAGUGGCCUUGCCUUCCAAUGAGGGGGGCCGAGCAAGGCCCGGCCAGGUAUUCCAGGGAGUGGAUUUGGCGCCCAAGGAAGUUGCCGUGACAUCAAAAGGGACAACUGGGGCCAAAGAGCAGAAGGGAAAAUGUACAUCUUAGCUGAUGACAAUUUGAACAGGUAAGGACUGAGAACCAGUCUACCCUUGCUCAUGGCUUGAUGUGUGACUGUAGGAAGCGGGUUCAGGGCUGUAGCGAAAUUGCUGUUGCUAGCUAGCAUCUGUUUUAUGCCUUUUCCAUUCUAACAGAACCUGAUUUUUGGUCAAGUGUUACCCUCCUCCUCCCCCAGCUUCCAGGAGCCCGUGUGCUUCAGUUCCAGGGUAGGUCGACAUGGAAUAAAGAUAAUCCUAUCUGGACCUAACUUGGUGUAGAAACGGGUACGGAACCCAGUUUGGACCAAUAACAAUUGAGGAGAUACUUACUGGGGAACUCUGAGAAAGUUCUUACCCCUCUGGAAGAACUUUGAUAAGUUGUUUUCUUCUCUUCCUUUGAAGAGAAGGCUGCAGCCUGUGGAUUAAACUUACAUAUGGAGCAAAGCGGAACCAAAUGAACUGGAGCGAAAACGAGCUGGAGUCCUUGUCCUACCUCUGUGCUUUUAGUGAUGUAAGCCAACAAGGCCCCUUAUUGUUAAGCCUGUUUGAAUUAUGUUUUCAAAUACUUGCCACUAAAAGUACUUCAACUGCCUCUAGAGAGUUUCAGGGAGUUGUGUGUAGAGUGGAGGCUGAAUUGAAUGAGACUAAUUUCUGCCAGAAGGUAGAAUGAGGGCUUAAAAUAGAAAUUAAUUUCAAUCCCAGAAAUAUAUAUAUAUAUAUAGGCAGCCCUUGCUUUGCCUGGUUCUAAUAUGCAUGUAUGUCAGUUGUCAUGGGUUAAAUAAUAUCAAUCUUCUAAUAAUAUGA
rnacentral:lncRNA from 1 species